AUUGAACGCUGGCGGCAUGCUUUACACAUGCAAGUCGAACGGUAACAGGUUAAGCUGACGAGUGGCGAACGGGUGAGUAAUGCAUCGGAACGCGCCCGGUCGUGGGGGAUAACGCAGCGAAAGCUGCGCUAAUACCGCAUGAGAUCUACGGAUGAAAGCAGGGGAUCGCAAGACCUUGUGCUACUAGAGCGGCCGAUGGCAGAUUAGGUAGUUGGUGGGAUAAAAGCUUACCAAGCCGACGAUCUGUAGCUGGUCUGAGAGGACGAUCAGCCACACUGGGACUGAGACACGGCCCAGACUCCUACGGGAGGCAGCAGUGGGGAAUUUUGGACAAUGGGCGCAAGCCUGAUCCAGCAAUGCCGCGUGCAGGAUGAAGGCCUUCGGGUUGUAAACUGCUUUUGUACGGAACGAAAAGCCCUGGGUUAAUACCCUGGGGUCAUGACGGUACCGUAAGAAUAAGCACCGGCUAACUACGUGCCAGCAGCCGCAGUAAUAC
rnacentral:rRNA from 1 species